UAUGCCUUAUGUCAUUGAAGAACUUUUAUUUUGACAGCUCAACCGGAUCUUGAGUUCCGGAAGUCGCCAGCUGAAGUGUUUUGGGAUGGUUUGGUCCCACAUCUCUGGAGGAACAGGUUCAGCUGAAUUUGUUUGUUUAAUUAUCCUGCCACCUUAACAGAACAAAUGCUGUAUCGGUUCAAGUCUUCUGCUGCUCCUAGUGUCAACUUUCCUACCUGGCUAAAGUUUAUCUUUGAAAACAACCAAUCAGCCAAUUUCACAAAGAUCAGUAUCAAACUGAGGUUCAGCACAAGGCGCCCAGAAGAAUUUCAGUUUGUCUCACAGACAAAUUAAGCCAAAUCAAGGCAUGGAGAAAACUCACCACUGUUCAGACUGUGAGAGGAGUUACACUAAAAAGAGUCAUCUGGAAAUACACCAGCGCACUCACACUGGAGAGAAACCGUAUCACUGUUCAGACUGCGGGAAGAAUUUUAACGACCUGAGUAAUCUCAAAACACACCAACGUAUUCACACAGGAGAGAAACCGUAUCAAUGCUCAUACUGUGGGAGUACUUUUAAUCAACUGAGUCAUCUUAAGACACACCAGCGCAUUCACACUGGAGAGAAACCACAUCACUGUUCAGACUGUGGGAAGAAUUUUAAUCAGCUGAGUACUCUAAAAAUACACCAGCGACUUCAUACAGGAGAUAAACCAUAUUGCUGCUCAGUAUGUGGGAAGAAUUUUAAUGAACUGAGUACUCUCAAAACACACCAGCGCAUUCACACAGGAGAGAAACCGUUUCACUGCUCGGUGUGUGGAAAGAGUUUUAACUUGCUGAGUACUCUCAAAAAACAUCAUCGCAUUCACACAGGAGAGAAACCAUAUCACUGUUCGGACUGUGAGAAGAGUUUUAAUGAACUGCAUAAUUUCAAAUCACACCAGCGCAUUCACACAGGAGAGAAACCGCAUAACUGCUCUGAGUGUGGGAGGAGUUUUAAAGAGCUGAGGUCUCUCAAAAAACAUCAGCGUGUUCACACAGGAGAGAAACCAUAUCACUGCUCAGACUGUGGAAAGAAUUUUAGUGAAUUGAGUACUCUUAAAAAACACCAGCGCAUUCACUCUGGAGAGAAACUGCAUCACUGCUCAGACUGUGGGAAGAGUUUUAUUGAAGUGAGUGCUCUCAAAAUCCACCAGCGCAUUCACACAGGAGAGAAACCGUAUCACUGCUCAGACUGUGGAAAGAACUUCAAUGAACGGAAUACUCUUAAAAUACACAAGCGGAUUCACACAGGAGAGAAACCGUAUCAAUGCUCAGCCUGUGGAAAGAGUUUUAAUCAACUGAAUCAUCUUAAAACACACCAGCGCAUUCACACAGGAGAGAAACCGUAUUACUGCCCAGACUGUGGAAAAAAUUUUACUAAACUAAGUAAUCUCAAAAAACACCAGCUCAUUCACACAGGAGAGAAACUGCAUCUGUGCUGAGACUGUGGAAAGAGCUUCAGGCAUUUGUAUGCAUUUCAGAAACACAAGUGCUGAGGUACGAGAUAAGCUCUCCAUUGACUUUCAUUCAUUGCAAGAUAUCUUUGAAGCAAUAAUAAAGUUUUCUUCCAGACAUUU